rnacentral:rRNA from 1 species
UGCAGUCGAACGCGUGUAGCAAUACACGAGUGGCGCACGGGUGAGUAACGCGUGGAUAUCUGCCUUUUGGUUCGGAAUAACUCCGGGAAACUGGAGCUAAUACCGGAUGGUUCCUACGGGAUAAAGAUUUAUCGCCAAAAGAUGAGUCCGCGUACGAUUAGCUAGUUGGUGAGGUAAUGGCUCACCAAGGCGACGAUCGUUAGCUGGUCUGAGAGGACGAUCAGCCACACUGGGACUGAGACACGGCCCAGACUCAUACGGGAGGCAGCAGUGGGGAAUAUUGGACAAUGGGGGCAACCCUGAUCCAGCCAUGCCGCGUGAGUGAUGAAGGCCUUCGGGUUGUAAAGCUCUUUUGGCGGGGACGAUGAUGACGGUACCCGCAGAAUAAGCCCCGGCUAACUUCGUGCCAGCAGCCGCGGUAAGACGAAGGGGUCUAGCGUUGUUCGGAAUUACUGGGCGUAAAGCGAGUGUAGGUGGUUGUCAUAGUCAGGUGUGAAAGCCUUGAGCUCAACUCAAGAAAUGCACUUGAUACUGGGCGACUAGAGGACCGGAGAGGAUAGUGGAAUUCCCAGUGUAGUGGUGAAAUACGUAGAGAUUGGGAAGAACACCAGUGGCGAAGGCGGCUAUCUGGACGGUUUCUGACACUAAGA